CCUGGCUGAAAAGCUAGGCCACAAGCUCUUUUAUUAGUGCCUUUUAAUAGGCUAGUAAAAUACAACUUUGAUAAUUAGUAGUGAAAAUGAAACUUAAAAAAGUGGUGGCGAGGUUAUUGGAAAUGAUAAAUUCAUUUAAUAAACAAUUUCAAUAACUGAGAUAAUUGGUAAAAGAGCUAUUUCCA
rnacentral:sRNA from 12 species